rnacentral:rRNA from 1 species
GAUGAACGCUAGCGAUAGGCUUAACACAUGCAAGUCGAGGGGCAGCAUGGUCUUAGCUUGCUAAGACUGAUGGCGACCGGCGCACGGGUGCGUAACGCGUAUGCAACUUGCCUCACAGAGGGGGAUAACCCGUCGAAAGACGGACUAAUACCGCGUACACUUGGGAUAGGGCAUCCUGACCCAAGGAAAUGAAAUUCGCUGUGAGAUAGGCAUGCGUCCCAUUAGCUAGUUGGUGAGGUAACGGCUCACCAAGGCGACGAUGGGUAGGGGAACUGAGAGGUUGAACCCCCACACUGGUACUGAGACACGGACCAGACUCCUACGGGAGGCAGCAGUGAGGAAUAUUGGUCAAUGGGCGAGAGCCUGAACCAGCCAAGUCGCGUGAAGGAUGGCUGUCUUAUGGAUUGUAAACUUCUUUUAUACGGGAAUAACAAGAGUCACGUGUGGCUCCCUGCAUGUACCGUAUGAAUAAGCAUCGGCUAACUCCGUG